rnacentral:rRNA from 1 species
GCCAAACCGCGAAUGGCUCAAAACACCAGACUUAGUUCCUUAGAUCUUACACGGUUACUUGGAUAACUGUGGUAAUUCUAGAGCUAAUACAUGCAAUCUGAGCUCUGACUUCGGAAAGAGUGCUUUUAUUAGAUCAAAACCAAUCGGCCGCGGCUUGCCGRGNCCGUUUCCACCGAUGAAUCUGAAUAACUUUGCAGAUCGCACGGUCUGCACCGGCGACGUAUCUUUCAAAUGUCUGCCUUAUCAACUUUCGAUGGUAGUUUCUACGACUCCCAUGGUUGUCACGGGUAACGGGGGAUUAGGGUUCGAUUCCGGAGAGGGAGCCUGAGACACGGCUACCACAUCCAAGGAAGGCAGCAGGCGCGCAAAUUACCCACUCCCGGCACGGGGAGGUAGUGACGAAAAAUAACGGUACGGGACUCUUAUGAGGCCUCGUAAUCGGAAUGAGUACACUUUAAAUAUUUUACGAGGACAAUUGGAGGGCAAGUCUGGUGCCAGCAGCCGCGGUAAUUCCAGCUCCAAUAGCAUAUUCUAGAAUUGUUGCGGUUAAAAAGCUCGUAGUUGCAUUUGUGUGCCGCACUGCCGGUCCAUGCUUUCGCGGUGCGACUGGCAGGRUUGCGGGGCAUAUCGCCGGUGAG